GGCUCAGGAUGAACGCUGGCGGUCUGCUUAACACAUGCAAGUCGAACGCAACCUUCGGGUUGAGUGGCGGACGGGUGAGUAACGCGUGAGAAUCUGCCUUGGGGUCGGGGACAACCACUGGAAACGGUGGCUAAUACCGGAUAAGCCUUUGGGUAAAAAAUUUAUUGCCCCAAGAGGAGCUCGCGUCUGAUUAGCUAGUUGGUGAGGUAAAAGCUCACCAAGGCAACGAUCAGUAGCUGGUCUGAGAGGACGAUCAGCCACACUGGGACUGAGACACGGCCCAGACUCCUACGGGAGGCAGCAGUGGGGAAUUUUCCGCAAUGGGCGAAAGCCUGACGGAGCAAGACCGCGUGAGGGAGGAAGGCUCUUGGGUUGUAAACCUCUUUUCUCAGGGAAGAAGCUCUGACGGUACCUGAGGAAUCAGCCUCGGCUAACUCCGUGCCAGCAGCCGCGGUAAUACGGAGGAGGCAAGCGUUAUCCGGAAUUAUUGGGCGUAAAGCGUCCGCAGGUGGCGAUUCAAGUCUGCUGUCAAAGCACGGGGCUUAACUCCGUUAAGGCAGUGGAAACUGAAUAGCUAGAGUGCCGUAGGGGUAGAGGGAAUUCCCGGUGUAGCGGUGAAAUGCGUAGAGAUCGGGAAGAACAUCGGUGGCGAAAGCGCUCUACUGGACGGCAACUGACACUCAGGGACGAAAGCUAGGGGAGCGAAUGGGAUUAGAUACCCCAGUAGUCCUAGCUGUAAACGAUGGAUACUAGGUGUAGCUUGUAUCGACCCGAGCUGUGCCGAAGCUAACGCGUUAAGUAUCCCGNCUGGGGAGUACGCACGCAAGUGUGAAA
rnacentral:rRNA from 1 species